AGGCACCUACGGGGCGCAGCAGUGAGGAAUAUUGGUCAAUGGGCGGAAGCCUGAACCAGCCAAGUCGCGUGAGGGAUUAAGGCCCUGCGGGUCGUAAACCUCUUUUGCCGGGGAGCAGUGGUCCGGACGCGUCCGGACCGGGAGAGUACCCGGAGAAAAAGCAUCGGCUAACUCCGUGCCAGCAGCCGCGGUAAUACGGAGGAUGCGAGCGUUAUCCGGAUUUAUUGGGUUUAAAGGGUGCGUAGGCGGAGUGUCAAGUCAGCGGUAAAAUUUCGGGGCUCAACCCCGUCGUGCCGUUGAAACUG
rnacentral:rRNA from 1 species